GGUUGCGAUCAUACCAGCACUAAUGCACCGGAUCCCAUCACCGCAGUUAAGCGUGCUUGGGCGAGAGUAGUACUAGGAUGGGUGACCCCCUGGGAAGUCCUCGUGUUGCAACCC
rnacentral:rRNA from 1 species